UGGGCACCUCCAUCCAUGAGCAUUCAUCACGACGCGUGAGACAUCUACGCGGAGCCAAAACUCGUGAAGCUGCCUCGGCUUUAUCUUUUCUCCUUUUCGUUUCCGCCGUUCCUCCUUCCACUUCCCCCCUCCUCCCUCCCCACUACCGUCGCUGGGACGCCGAACAAGAGAAGGCGACGACUGGCGUGCUUCACACGUGCACCCAACCCCCAAUGGCAAAGGGGAGUGCAGGCAUGAGUGCGGCCGCCACGUCUGCAGUGGGUGUGGGAGGCUCGAGGCGCUCGAUAGAGCAGCUGUCCAGAGCAGCGGUCACCGAUAUGCUGCAGUACACACCGCAUAUACCGUCCAUCUGCUGCGCCGCCGCACAUCCUUACCUGCGCUACGCUCGCGAAGCAGUAGCCGGCACUCGUGUAGCAGAGGGAUCCGCCCACCACCGCAGCGACCUCUAUGUGUGUUGGGACUGGACGACGAACUAUGAGUACCACAGCCUGUCAGGUGCGGAGGAAGAGCUGGAGGCCGAUCUGCGGCAGCUGGGGUGGUGGCUGACGCGGCCGUUCACCGAGGAUGGCAAGCCCAUGACCAUGGAGGUGAACGUGAAGCGGGAGGCGUCUUACCACCCACCUUUGCCGUCUACUCCCUCCGCGACCGCGACGGCAACGAAAGCGCCGCCGGCGGGCUUUGAGAGCAUCCUGCGUAUCCUCACCCAGCCGCCGUUUCAGCGCACCGACGUCGGCAUCUCAUGCCUGCGCUCGCUCAUCGUAACACCAAAUCGAAAGGAAGUGUCGAAAACAGCCAUAGAGCUCAUUGGGCAGCUUACGCACCUCGAGAAGCUCGAGUCCUUUACACAGUUUCUGGCCCUUCCGCUGCCCUCACUGACGAGUGUUUCUGUUCUGCGGCUGCACAACGUGAGGGCUCUCACGAGUCUCGAGCCGCUAGUGCCGCUGUCGGGCCUCAAACGCAUCAGCCUCUGUCGCUGCGCCUCUCUGCACUCUCUGGCAGCGCUGUCGCAGCUGCGGGAGCUGAAUGAGCUGCGUCUGUCUGACUGCCGCGUUUUGGACGCGCGUGGGAACUACUCGGCAUGCAGGCGCCUGACCUCCGUGUCGAUGCGCUGGUGCGGCGCGGUCCUGCACGUGGGGGACUUGGCAACGCUUCCCAACCUACGCGACCUCGACUGCAGCUAUUCCGGUGUGCGAGAUUUGGAAAGCCUGAAACAAUGUUUACAGCUGCGCCGGCUGUGUCUGCGCGGAUGCCACUCCAUCCAUGAGCUGUUCCACGCGAUGGACACGUCUGCCGCGCUGCUCAAACCCCCUGGCGGUGUCGCUGCUACUGAGAUCUCAAGGGCUUUUCUGGACAGAGUGGCGGCACCUGCCAUCGUUGACGAGCACGUGAGUCUUUCCGCUGCUAAUAAGCUAACGUUGACAGGUGACGCUUCCACGCCUCCAGCUGGCACCGUACUCUAUCCCGUUCUGAGCAUCACCAUGCCGUCGCCCGCCUCCUCCUUCUCUCAACUCGAGGAGCUGGACGUGGGUGAGAGCAGCUUGGUCUCGCUCUCUGGGCUGCCGCAGUGCGCCCCCGAGCUGCGUCACCUUACCGUUCGCGAGUGCCAGCAGCUGCACAGCUUGAGUCCGCUAGGCGAGUUGCUGAAACUGACCUCCGUGGACGCGUCCUUCAGCGGCGUAGACGACCUCGAGGGGCUGUCUGAGAGCGUAUCGCUGCAGUACGUGAACCUCAGAAACUGCGUCCGCCUCCGCACGGCUGCCUCUUUGGCGAGGGUGAGAUCCCUGCGCGAGAUCGACCUGAGCGCGGCGAAUCAGAACUGCAUCAUCUGUGUUUGCAACCGCGAGCUCGACACGCGCAACGAAAGCACCGGCGGUCAUUGUGUGCGCCGCCGCCGGAGUGAGCCCCUCCGACAGCGCUUGCUCAUGCUCUCUGGGCCCGUCGGCGGCGUUGGCGACAUGCACAUUGACACGGCAGUGACGCAGCGGUCAAGCCUCCGACUCCUGCAGCAUCGCGUUCUGCGCCAGGAGGCGGAGGCGCUGCUGCGUCAGCCACUGGAACAGGUGCUCGCGACAGAGGCGCGCCCGCAAGAAGCGAUGUGGUGAAGACGCUGCAGGGUCUGCUGGAGAGCGUGAGUGCACAUAUCGAAAAAGCGCACUUACACGGGGUGUUUCUCUCCAUGGGGACUGCAUGAUUCCAACGGCGGUGACGGGCCCCCCGAUACGCAGCCGGCACCUCACUCUCGCCGCGCUCGUUAUCCCUCACCCUUCACCCGUAACGGCUGUGCUGAUGUCGGUGUGCACGUGUUUGUGCUCACGUGUGUCUGCUGUUCCCUUUAUACUUGAGGUUUUCUUCAUGUCGGAUGUCCCUUGUUUUUGUGUUAUUGUUUUCUCUCUUACACCGUCAUUCCGUUCGAGGUCUCUUGAGUCUCCCCACGCCGCCAGCGCCCCCACAGUCACUUCGCCAUCGCUCUUCUUUAUUAUUAUUUUGCGGCUAUCUGUUUAUCUGCCUCACUCCCCCUUCUUUGAUAAACUCCUCUUGUGCCUCUGUCUCUCUCUGAUGUAAACGUUGAGCCCCUGUGUGCGCGACUGUGUGAAGGAGCGAGAGGUCUGCGUGCGUGGGUACGUCAUUCGCUCGUCCAAGCUGGAGGCGCUUACCAAUCCCUCCCCCUUCUCUUUCUUUCUCUCUCUCUCUUUUUAUUGCGUUCCACGUCGCCCUCCGCGGCAGGAACUGAGCUGAGCUUGGUGCACGCACGCUACGUGGUGCAUUUUCACGUGCACCGCAUGGAACGAGCCUCUGACUGGAAUGCACGAAAACGUCUCUCUUUUUUUUUUGCUUUGUGCGUAUACAGAUUCCCGAACGCCUACUUUCUCCUUUCUUUUUCGUGUCAUGGCACGCAAAAGGACCUUCGUGCUCCUCUCCUCAGCCGAAUCUGCCUGGCGUGCUGCCUCCUGUGGUGGUCAGCCCAGUCGCUUAUGGACGGACCGUCUUUUGAAGCUUCUUUUUUUCUUCAUGGCUGUCUUGCCCAUGUUCGCCCUCUCUCUCCUUUCCUCUCACCUCCUCAGCCGGCUUUUUGAUAUCCUCUGUUUCACGACGGAGGUUUUUUGGUUCCAUGGUUCGGAAGUCCCGCCAACUGCUUCGGUCUGCGUGUCUGUCUCCUCACAGGCGUUUGAGUGUGAGUGUUCGGGAGCUUCAGUCAGUGAGAGAGAGACAAAAAAAAAGCAUGAGCUUUUAUGGCUAGUCUUCGAUGCCUCUCUCUCACACUGGCUCACGUGCGGCCCUCCCCCUCCUCCCCACCACUGCGCGGUAUACAUAUGUCCAGGUAUACAUACAUAUAUUUCUGUGUGUGCAUAGAUGUGUACGUGCAAGCGUGCAGUUGUCUGACGCACUCUCUCUUCGUUCUCCUCUCGUCGUGUUCUCUUUCUCACUCGUUCCUUUCCUUUUAUUUUAUUUUUUCGUGCCUCUGCAGCCUCGUUCUUUCUCUUCGUCUCCGUCUGUGCCUCGGCUGGCAUCCUCCGCUUUUCGUGUGGCGCUGGCGCGUGAGUGCGUUGCAACCCCUUCACAGAUACGAGUGCACAUACAAUUCAUUCUUCGUGGCGACGUUUGUGGUGGACAUAUCGAUGUUGCAGACGGCGCCAAGUCGUAUCGCGUGCGCAGUCUGCGUUGUAACGGACCCACCCCUUCGCAUGCGGCAUCGGCCAAGUGCGGAAUGCGCGCCUACUUGCUCUUUCCUUCUGUGAAGCUCUCGAGGUGCACCCACCUUUUCCUUUUCUUGUGUGGGUGGCUGUGAGCCGAACUUCUCUUUUUCCUGUUCGUCACCAUUAUUCUUUCCUCUGAUUUGUCGACACCCCUUUUUUCCGAGGCCUCUGCUGAAUUUGACUCCCUCCUGCUCAGUGCGUGACGCUACGCCUGCCCCUUCUCCGCGGUGAUCUCUGCCUCUCUCGCUCCCCUCCACGGUUCAGCGCUCUCCGAAGCGCGUAUGAGCGUGUCGGCACAGUUCACGGCCCGCAGGACGUCCGCCACGGGAACAGCAGCAGCGAAAAACAAACAAACAACCAACAAAAGGCAGUAGCGAGGAAAGGUAAGGCGAAACAGAAACGUAGCGUCAUCCUCGGUACCAAGAGAGAGAUCGGCAAGGGGAUAUUGGUCGGGGCACCACUCGGCUAACCUCUCUCCUUUCUUUGGAGUGUGUCUCCAUGACUUGGUGCGCCCUCCCCACUUCUGUCGUGCCCCGCAUCAUCUUUUCUCUGUAGCUUUCUCCAACGCUGCCUUCUACCACCAAAGUCAUCGUGAUGUUUCUUCUUUUUCUAUUAUUAUCUUUCUUGUGCUAUACACGCGUAGUUGUUGGGGGCCCUACCUACGCGCCUUAUC
rnacentral:misc_RNA from 1 species